rnacentral:lncRNA from 1 species
AAUAAACCUAAGACUCCAAAUGGUAUUACCCUCAGGGGGUGAACAAGAAAAUAUAUGCAUCCAAAACUUACAGAAAGACACUAUCUUUUCUGGGUCUUGGUUCUUUAUGGAAAAUUAAAAAACAAAACUCUUCACUGAGCAUAUAUUUUUAAAAUUAUAAGCUGGCAUUUCCAGAAAUGUAGGGGUAGGAUUCAUACUGUAUAUGCUAUUUAAAAUACCUUUUGGAACUAGUUCAGAGAUGAAUCACCGUUCAUGACCUCAAGGCACUUACAGAAGCAAGUGGAGAUAAAAUUACAAUAGGAGACCCACACUUCAUCUGGAAUUGAGAAGAGGUGGUCAAGAAGACUUUGGAGAAAAAAAAGUAUUUUUUUAAGUCUUUCAUUUGUAAAGACAAAACACUAGCAGUUAAAACAAUAAUAUAACCAACAACAUAAUCAACUGAAUGGUGCCUGCAACUUCUGUGACCAUUUUGCCAUGUUGGGACCAAGUGUGAAUGCAAAGUUUGCACAUAGAGGAGAACUGACCAAUCGGAGAAUGGAAAACUUCUUGAUCAUUGAUGACAGCAGUCAACCAGUGAAGCCAUCAAGCCUGGAGUUUUUCCUACUGCUGGAAUUCUUGUCAUUGCAGAAAAUCAAUGUUGUGUUCUGAUUUGGGGCAUUCUAGCUUGCAAAUAGAGGCAUCUUAGCUGACACCAAAUGCUCCCUAAGGAUAUUCCAAAG